rnacentral:rRNA from 1 species
GUGCAACAACCUACAAUUGAAGCUUAUGUUCUGCCAAGGCUAGAGAUGCGGUUUGAAACUUUCAAAGAAGUAAAGGAAUUCUACAACGUCUAUGCAAGGCAUGCGGGUUUUGCUGUUAGGGAAGGUUCUAAGGUUAAUAGUAGAGUCUACCUUUUGUGCACGUGCGAUGGAGUCUAUGAAUUGAAGGUUUCAGAUGCAAAUAGACAGAGGAGCAAGACCACUGCCAGGAUUAACUGCAAGGCUAAAAUGAGGCUGGAGAGGGAAAAUGAUGGAACACUUGUUGUAAAGGAGAUAUGUUGGGAACACAACCACAUGCUAGUGGUCAGCCCCCAAAUGCUUGUCUUCUUGCACUCCCACAAAAACUUUGACACCACAAUCAUGGAGUACGUCAAGUUCCUGCAGCUCAAAGGCAUUGAACACGCGAGAAUCAUGAGUAUACUGGUCGGUGAUGACCCCGGUGGAUACUUUAUUGAAAUGAACGCCCGAGACCUGAUUAACACGAAAGCAAAGAAUUCAAGUAUGGAUGAUGUGGAAGAUGUCCUCAAGACUAUCAACUUCUUUAGGGAGAUGAAAGCGAUAAACAAGGAAUUCUUCUGCGACAUACAACUUGAUGAGUCCGAUAGGGUGAAGAACAUAUUCUGGGCGAACGCAAGCUGUCGAGGGGCGUACCAAGACUUUGGUGAUUGCAUGAUGUUUGACACCACAUAUAAGACCAACAAAUACCAUAUGCCACUUAGGGUGUUUGUGGGUACUAACAACCAUUUGCAGACUACAUUCUUUGCUUUCGCCCUGAUAAGAGACGAGGAUGUAGAUUCAUUCAAGUGGCUAUUCAAAACAUUUUUUAAAUGCACGAGAGGGAAGGCUCCUACAUGCAUCCUCACAGACCAGUGCCCAACAAUGUCUUUGGCGAUCCCAGAUGUUUUCAGAAACACCACACACAAGCUAUGCUGCUGGCACAUUAUGAAGAAGUACAUGGAACACCUAGCGUACCUGUACAACCUCCACGCAACCUUUAAGGAUGAAUUCACAACAAUCCACAACUGGCCCCUCAUGCCAACUGAUUUUGGGGAUGCCUGGUGUAACACCCAGAUAAUUAAGCUACAAUGA